rnacentral:rRNA from 1 species
GACGAACCGUGCGAACGUUGUUCGGAUUCACUGGGCUUAAAGGGCGCGUAGGCGGGUCGACAAGUCCGGGGUGAAAUCCUCUCGCUUAACGAGAGAACUGCCCCGGAUACUGGCGACCUCGAGGGAGGUAGGGGCAUGUGGAACUUCCGGUGGAGCGGUGAAAUGCGUAGAUAUCGGAAGGAACGCCGGUGGCGAAAGCGACGUGCUGGACCUCUUCUGACGCUGAGGCGCGAAAGCCAGGGGAGCAAACGGGG